UACAUAGCUAGUUUCCCCUGCCCGUUUGUCCAGACGGAAGGAGUGGGAGGGGAAUAAAAAAAAGUUUAAAGUUCGGAAUGACUCACAAAUACCAUUGAACAAAUGAUAAAAAAAAGUGCAUUGCUUCUCAAGCAGGGGUAGGGAGCCGUGGAUUGCUGUCGAUUGGCUAAAGAAUAAAUCGCCGCAAUAUAAAAUUUCGGUUUUUGUACUUUUUUCCCGAUAUGCAGCAAUGAAAAAAACAAAAGUUCGCUUGCUCGCUUAUAUAUUAACUUCUUCACCUUUUCCAAACUUUAAAUGAAAUUCAUGUAAUGACUUCAAGUAUAAUGUCAAGUAAAAGUGCCCCAUAAAUAACAUACAAAGAGUGUGAAA